AUCUUCCGCAAUGGACGAAAGUCUGACGGAGCAACGCCGCGUGAGCGAAGAAGGUCUUCGGAUCGUAAAGCUCUGUUGUUAGGGAAGAACAAGUAUCGGAGGAAAUGCCGGUACCUUGACGGUACCUGACGAGAAAGCCACGGCUAACUACGUGCCAGCAGCCGCGGUAAUACGUAGGUGGCAAGCGUUGUCCGGAAUUAUUGGGCGUAAAGCGCGCGCAGGCGGUCCUUUAAGUCUGAUGUGAAAUCUUGCGGCUCAACCGCAAGCGGUCAUUGGAAACUGGGGGACUUGAGUGCAGAAGAGGAAAGCGGAAUUCCACGUGUAGCGGUGAAAUGCGUAGAGAUGUGGAGGAACACCAGUGGCGAAGGCGGCUUUCUGGUCUGUAACUGACGCUGAGGCGCGAAAGCGUGGGGAGCAAACAGG
rnacentral:rRNA from 1 species